AGAGAGAGACAUGCGCGCAUAUCAAUAAGCGGAGGAAAAGAAACUAACAAGGAUUCCCUUAGUAACGGCGAGUGAAGCGGGAAGAGCUCAAAUUUGAAAUCUUCAAGGUUUUACCUUGACGAAUUGUAGUUUAAAGAAGUGUUUUCUGCUGAAGUUUUGGUAAAAGUUCUUUGGAAUAGGACAUCAUAGAGGGUGAGAAUCCCGUAUUUGACCAUUAUUUUCAGCUUUGUGAUACACUUUCAAAGAGUCGGAUUGUUUGGGAAUGCAGUCCAAAAUGGGUGGUAAACUUCAUCUAAAGCUAAAUAUUGGCGAGAGACCGAUAGCGAACAAGUACCGUGAGGGAAAGAUGAAAAGAACUUUGAAAAGAGAGUUAAACAGUACGUGAAAUUGUCAAAAGGGAAGCGUUUGACACCAGUGUUGUUUUCUCGAAAAUCAAUUAAAAAUGGCUCGAUUUUGUAUUGUUGAGACCUUAAAAGCUCACUGUACAUUUUUCGUGUCUUUUUCAAUGCACUUUUCGUUUAACAAGUCAACAUCAGUUUCUUUUGUUGUAAAAGGGUCAUUGGAAGGUGGCUUUCUUUUCGGAGAAAGUGUUUAUAGCCUUUGGCCUCUGCAAUCGGAGAGACUGAGAGUCUGCAGCGUAGACUCUUCGGGAUUAGAUACAUUUGUGCUAAGUUAUAGCUUUUUAUAGACAACUUGUUGACUAUAAUUAGUCUUGUAGCUUACUCGCUUAUGCUAUUUUACCUACGCUUAGGAUGUUGAGUCGUAGAGCACGCAG
rnacentral:rRNA from 1 species